AACGAACGCUGGCGGCGCGCUUAAUACAUGCAAGUCGAACGAGAAGGUGUAGCAAUACACUUGUAAAGUGGCGAACGGGUGAGGAAUACAUGGGUAACCUACCCUCGAGUGGGGAACAACCAGCCGAAAGGUUGGCUAAUACCGCGUACGCUUCCGGGUCUUCGGAUUCGGAAGGAAAGUCAUACCGUGGGUAUGACGCUCAAGGAUGGGCUCAUGUCCUAUCAGCUUGUUGGUAGGGUAACGGCCACCAAGGCUCCGACGGGUAGCUGGUCUGAGAGGACGAUCAGCCACACUGGCACUGCGACACGGGCCAGACUCCACGGGAGGCAGCAGUAAGGAAUAUUGCGCAAUGGGCGAAAGCCUGACGCAGCGACGCCGCGUGGGGAUGAAGGUCUUCGGAUUGUAAACCCCUUUCGGGAGGGAAGAUGGAACGAGCAAUCGUUCGG
rnacentral:rRNA from 1 species